GAGUUUGAUCAUGGCUCAGAUUGGUGCUGGCGGGAUGCUUUACAUGCAAGUCGAACAGCAGCACGGACUUCCAGUCUGGUGGCGAGUGGCGAACAGGUGAGUAAUAAUGUAUCCCGGAACGUGCCUAAGUAGCGGGGGAUAACUACGCGAAAGCGUAGCUGUACAUACGCCCUUCGGGGAAAGCGGGGGACAACUUCGGGCCUCGCACUAUUGAAACGGCCGAUAUCGGAUUAGCUAGUUGGUGGGGUAACGGCUCACCGGGCGACGAUCCGUAGCUGGUUUGAGAGGACGACCAGCCACACUGGGACUGAGACACGGCCCAGACUCCUACGGGAGGCAGCAGUGGGGAAUUUUGGACAAUGGGGGAAACCCUGAUCCAGCCAUCCGCGUGUGCGAUGAGGCCUUCGGGUUGGCAAAAAGCACUUUUGGCAGAAGGAAAGAAACGGCACGGGAUAAUGCCCCGUGCAACUGACGACACCUGCAGAAUAAGCACCGGCUAACUACGUGCCAGCAGCCGCGGUAAUACGUAGGGUGCAAGCGUUAAUCGGAAUUACUGGGCGUAAAGCGUGCGCAGGCGGUUCGGAAAAGAAAGAUGUGAAAUCCCAGAGCUUAACUUUGGAACAUGCAUUUAACUACCGAGCUAGAGUGUGUCAGAGGGAGGUGGAAUUCCGCGUGUAGCAGUGAAAUGCGUAGAUAUGCGGGAGGAACACCAUUGGCGAGCAGCCUCUGGGAUAACACUUUGACGCUCAUGCACGAAAGCGUGGGGAGCAAACAGAGUUAGAUACCCUGGUAGUCCACGCCUAAACGAUGUCAACUAGCUGUUGAGGGCCUUCGGGCCUUGUUGUACAACUAGCAACGUGAUUGACCGCCUGGGAAGUACGGUCGCAAGAUUAUCAAAGGAAUUGACGGGGACCCGCACAAGCGGUGGAUGUGGAUUAAUUCGAUGCAACGCGAGAAAACCUUACCUACCCUUGACAUGUCUGGAAUCCCGAAGAGAUUUGGGAGUGCUCAUAAGAGAACCGGAACACAGGUGCUGCAUGGCUGUCCGUCAGCUCGUGUCGUGAGAUGUUGGGUUAAGUCCACAACGAGCGCAACCCUUGUCAUUGGUGCUACGAAAGGGCACUCUAAUGAGACUGCCGGUGACAAGCCGGAGGAAGAUUAAGGGAUGGCGUCAAGUCCUCAUGGCCAUAUGGGGUAGGGGCUUCACACGUCAUACAAUGGUCGGGACGGGUCGCCAACCCGCGAGGAGCCAAUCCCAGAGAAACCCGAUCGUAGUCCGGAUCGCAGUCUGCAACUCGACUGCGUGAAGUCGGAGAUCGCUAGUAAUCGCGGAUCCAGCAUGUCGCGGUGAAUACGUUCCCGGGUGUACACACCGCCCGUCACACCAUGGAAUUGGGUUUUGCAAGUAGUUAGCCUAACCGUGGGAGGGCGAUUACCACGGUAAGGAUUCAUGACUGGGGUGAAGUCGUAACAAGGUAG
rnacentral:rRNA from 1 species